rfam:Myotis davidii contig1235, whole genome shotgun sequence.
UGUGAACCGGUGGGGUCCCUUGGCCUGGCCUGCAACCUCUUGCAAUCCUGGACCCCUCAGGGGAUGUAUGCAGGCCAGGCCGAGGGACCCCACCGGUGCAUG